rnacentral:rRNA from 1 species
CCUACGGGAGGCUGCAGUAGGGAAUAUUGCUCAAUGGGGGAAACCCUGAAGCAGCAACGCCGCGUGGAGGAUGAAUGUUUUCGGAUUUUAAACUCCUUUUUUUAUAGAAGUUAAUUACUGUAUCUAACGAAUAAUCACCGGCUAACUCCGUUCCAGCAGCCGCGAUAAUACGGAGGGUGCAAGCGUUACUCGGAAUCACUGGGCGUAAAGAGCGCGUAGGCGGGAUAGCAAGUCAGAUGUGAAAUCCUAUGGCUUAACCAUAGAACUGCAUUUGAAACUGUUAUUCUAGAGUAUGGGAGAGGUAGGUGGAAUUCGUGGUGUAGGGGUAAAAUCCGUAGAGAUCAAGAGGAAUACUCAUUGCGAAGGCGACCUGCUAGA